UACGUAGGGGGCAAGCGUUGUCCGGAGUUAUUGGGCGUAAAGCGCGCGCAGGCGGCCUCGCGCGCCCGACGUGAAAGCCCCCGGCUUAACCGGGGAGGGUCGUUGGGGACGGCGGGGCUUGAGGGCGGGAGAGGUCGGUGGAAUUCCCGGUGUAGUGGUGAAAUGCGUAGAGAUCGGGAGGAACACCUGUGGCGAAGGCGGCCGUCUGGGCCGACCCUGACGCUGAGGCGCGAAGGCGUGGGGAGCGAACGGG
rnacentral:rRNA from 1 species